rnacentral:rRNA from 1 species
UACCCAACGAUGCACUGAACCGAGCAGGCUUAGUCCACAUGCGCUCCUGCUCCAUUUGUUGGUUUGGUUGGGAGACGGAGGAGGGGAUGAGAGCAACAGCGGGCGUCUUGGGGUGGGUUCGGGAGCGAGCGAGCGGCCUUAGAUCCCGCCGGCGCCGCCGGCCCUCGUCUGCGCGCGCCCUCCUCAUCAAGCCCAGGCGCGGCGUUGGGAAACGGAGCCGGUGGUGGCGGCAGGCGCGGCGGCGGGAAACAGCAGCGGUGGUGGCGGCAGGCGCGGCGGCGGGAAACAGCAGCGGUGGUGGCGGCAGGAGCGGCGUAGGUGGUGGUAGCAGGAUUGAAGAGAGCCGGCAACGGCCCCUAGGCCGGCGCGUUGUUUAGCUAGCGUUUCCUAGAGUUCCGGACGGCGGGACGGGCCGCGUGGGUAGGUCUCCGUGUACAAGAGGUGUCUAGGUAACCUAGGGAACGGCGGAGAGUAGCAGGAAAAAGUAGCACCGAACGGGACCUACGAUCUAAGACGUUAAGGAGUGGACGUCAUACCUUCACGUAGAAGUGGACCCCGCGAUCGACGACUACCGGUGUCUAUUGUCGCUGCACAUGUUCGCCUUCCGAAAAAGGAUUUCCCUAACUCUAAUGGUCCUAAGUCUAACCUAGGGACGACACAGUCACGCCUCUUGACGAGCUUGUGCAUCCGUACUGUACUGGCUACGACUAAUGCGGGCUUGACGGGAGGAAACUGUAUUUUCUAAGAGCUCGGGGAGCUGACUUUAGGGCUGAUUUGCGUUCAAAGGGAACAACUUUAAUGAUGCAGACUUCGAAGGUUAGAGCGGUUGAAGCGACCUCUUAGCACGCGGGCACGAGCUCGUCUCCAUGGUUAAAAGUCAUGACAAAAAUCCCCGAAGAUGUACUUAGGGUACGUACCGAAACACCGUACGUUCUGAAAGAACGAUCUGUUCGUUCUUUUGUCUCGGUAGUGCGAACGGGAUGGCAUCGUCGGAAGUUUCGUGGUGUAUUGCACCCGAGAGAGUUACAGUCAAGUAAUCGACUCGACUAAAGUGUACAAUUGUAGUACAUUGGAAAAAAGAUGUAACGUGUAAAUAGUCAACCUAAUGUAGCAUCUGACGUCAAGUCUAGUAAUAGUACAUCCAACGAGGAAACUUUCAAUCUGAAGUAUUUCUUCGUUAAACUAGGCUGGUGUUAUGGAGACUUAUCUACGUAGUACCUAAACACCCAAGUGGUAGAACCUUCCACGUUAAGACCACUACCACAGUAUUAACUAUUUAUACAUGCAACGAAGUAUACAACCUACCAAAACCGCCGGAAGACACACUCCAUCUGAACUGACUACUCCCGAACUUUUCCCCGGAACCAAAAGACAGUUGACUUUUGAGACAAAUACGUGUUGGAUAUAGGAGAUACUCUUCCUUGACCUACCUCGUUCAAGAUGUACGGAGUUUAACGAAUUUAUAUACGAUUCGAGUGAACUAAAUGGGUCGCCUCAUUUGUUUUUGACCCAGGUCUUGAUGACGUACGCAUUACGUUGUGAAGAAAAUACAUGAUGGAGUUACGCCCUCACAAUUAACAACUAGGGUGAUUCAGACGUAAACAAUUUUGUACCACAAAACCAUCCUCUACUGACAGUUGAGUCACGUUACCAAUCUCGUUUCAUUCCAUAACGGAGUGGGAGAAAUAUGACAGACUAAAGUGAAUGAGUAACCACGUAAAUGAUUUUCUAUUUGAAGACUAUGAUUUUACGAUAAAAAAAGAACUCUUUUUAACAUUACCGGUAUAGAAAGGAAAUACAAGGUAACAAUAAAUAGACAAAAACUAUUAGAAUUAAGAAUGAAAGGUAACAAAUAGAGAUCCAUACGUUUCUUCAACCUAAACGCUGUUCAAAUAAACCCUCUAACCAAUACGAGGUUAAAUUAUAUGUAAACGACUUGUAUGUCAUAGUGUACUUAGGAAGAAGUCCAAUAAAGGUUUACAGGUCAAAAUACUCUCCUUCUAAUCGUACCGCCGGUUCAACUUCCACGUGAAGGUGCGGCCGCCGGGCUAGAGCUGCCGUUAGGCUGCGUCCGCCGCAGGUGGUUGUCGAGGAGGAGGUUCCUGCUCCACCCGGUGCGCGUUCUCUGGAUGCACGUCUAAACGACAAAGUACAGUAAAUAAAAGAAUAAAGGACAAACCAGAAUUAAGGUCAAAAAACAAACAUUAUCAACAAGUACCCUACUUUAAAGGUUUAGUGCAACCAAACAAACGUAUGGGUUUAACAUUACUAAUAUAAAAUAAUGAAAGGUAGCACCUAUCUCUACAUAAACAGG